rnacentral:lncRNA from 1 species
CCUGUGCCGGGGAGCCAAUCAGUGCUCCCUCCGGCCACAGACAGCCUCCAGCACCUCAGCACUGCAUUCCCUCGGGCUGUGACAGUCCGAGGGAAGCAGAUGGCCAGCUAGUUGCCAGCAUUUGGGGGGGCCCAAGGGGGGGCACAGCAUGAUGUAGGGGGGGCCAUGGCCCCCUCUGGCCCCCCCCUAGCGACGCCACUG